rnacentral:misc_RNA from 1 species
AUUAUCAACCAUCAAGCUCUGCUUGGCAUUGAGUGUCACCUCCCCCCACGGGGUGGGCGCGCUUCAAACCGGUCGGCGGUGGCUCAGGCCUCUUAAGCGUUAGUACUACUUCCCGCUUCUAGAGCCUGUGGUCGCCCGCCUCCAAAACCCAACACCUCAAGGUUGACCUCGGAUCAGGUAGGGAUACCCGCUGAACUUAA